CGACAUAUAGGCAAUCCUGCUACAAAAUCUGUCACCCAUUGAUCGCCAGGGUUGAUUUGCCUAGGCUGGCUAGGUGGGUGUCCCCUUCCUCCCUCAACAUUCCAUGUGUGUCCUUCCAGAUGCUGUGUGAUGGGUCAACACUCUUCCUGUUGACAUUAGAAAUAGACCAUUCUUUGUUAGGGAGUAUAUGAGUAGCAGCAUUCCUAUGGGAUUUCUUUAGGGGGUAGUAGGGUACCUCUUGAUAUGUGUGUAAUUAUCACCAUUCCCACCACUUUCUUACUCUUAUUGUACAAAGCCUUAA
rnacentral:snRNA from 1 species